CUUCAUCACCAACUUCAUCAUCUUCCACAUUUCGACCAGGAAAGAAAAAGCCCAUCAUUCUAUGGAAGAACUGGUGGGUCAGCUGGAUGAGAUACCCCCAACUGGUGGGCGGACUUUGCUGAAGAGGCGAAGGGCUAGCUGUCGCCCAGACUGGCAGGAGCUCUGGGGCCGCAGAACUACCUGUGCAGUAAGUUAACAACAGUCCAACACAAUGACCUCACUCCCACAAAUCCUUUGCAGAAUGAGAGGACCUAUCAUGCUAAGUUGGCAGUAUGGAGAAGUGACCAGGAAGAAUGAUCACACUUGCUUUGAGGAUGCUCAGGCGUUCCUUUCCUAGAUAAGUGAAAUUUCUACUGCUGAGCUUAUAAGACCUACUAAAGAAGUGUUUGAUUUGGUUUUUUUAAAACAGAUUUUUUAAAGAUGUGAAUAU